rnacentral:rRNA from 1 species
GUUAGGAAUAUUGGACAAUGGGCGCAAGCCUGAUCCAGCCAUGCCGCGUGAGUGAUGAAGGCCUUCGGGUUGUAAAGCUCUUUAGUCCACGAAUAUAAUGACUGUAGUGGAAGAAUAAGCCCCGGCUAACUUCGUGCCAGCAGCCGCGGUAAUACGAUGGGGGCGAGCGUUAUUCGGAAUCACUGGGCGUAAAGCGUGCGUAGGCUGUUUUGUAAGUCAGAAGUGAAAGCCCAGGGCUUAACCCUGGAAUUGCUUUUGAAACUACAAGACUCGAAUUCGGGAGAGGAUAGCGGAAUUGUCAGUGUAGCAGUGAAAUGCGUAGAUAUUGACAGGAACACCAGUGGCGCAAGCGGCUAUCUGGACCGAUAUUGACGCUGAGGCACGAAAGCGUGGGGAGCAAACAGGAUUAGAAACCCUUGUAGUCC